GAUGAACGCUGACAGAAUGCUUAACACAUGCAAGUCAACCUGAAUUUGGGUUUUUAACUUCGGUUUGGGUGGCGGACGGGUGAGUAACGCGUAAAGAACUUGCCUCACAGCUAGGGACAACAUUUGGAAACGAAUGCUAAUACCUAAUAUUAUGAUAAUAGGGCAUCCUAUAAUUAUGAAAGCUAUAAGCGCUGUGAGAGAGCUUUGCGUCCCAUUAGCUAGUUGGAGAGGUAACGGCUCACCAAGGCGAUGAUGGGUAGCCGGCCUGAGAGGGUGAUCGGCCACAAGGGGACUGGGACACGGCCCUUACUCCUACGGGAGGCAGCAGUGGGGAAUAUUGGACAAUGGACCGAGAGUCUGAUCCAGCAAUUCUGUGUGCACGAUGAAGUUUUUCGGAAUGUAAAGUGCUUUCAGUUGGGAAGAAACAAAUGACGGUACCAACAGAAGAAGUGACGGCUAAAUACGUG
rnacentral:rRNA from 1 species